rnacentral:rRNA from 1 species
UACGUAGGGUGCAAGCGUUGUCCGGAAUUAUUGGGCGUAAAGAGCUCGUAGGCGGUCUGUCGCGUCGGAUGUGAAAAUCCAGGGCUCAACCCUGGACCUGCAUUCGAUACGGGCAGACUAGAGUUCGGUAGGGGAGACUGGAAUUCCUGGUGUAGCGGUGAAAUGCGCAGAUAUCAGGGAGGAACACCGGUGGCGAAGGCGGGUCUCUGGGCCGAAACUGACGCUGAGGCGCGAAAGCUAGGGGAGCAAACAGG